CACGUACUCCCUCCGUCCCAAAAUUCUUGUCUUAAAUUUGUCUAGAUACGAUGUAUCUAGUCACGUUUUAGUAUUUAGAUACAUCCAUUUCUAGACAAACUUAAGACAAAAAAUUUGGGAUGGAGGGAGUAUGUU
rnacentral:pre_miRNA from 1 species